AUGUUUCACAUGAUUUUCCCAGGCCCUGAAAGUAAUGGGAUUAGUCUCGAAUUAUUGCAGUUGGAAAAUUACAUCCUUUGUUCAUGGGGAUCCACUUCAGUUCAUCUUGACCUAGGCAGAAUGUGGACCAGACUUUCUUUUAUACUCCUUUUUAUUGGCUUCACUAGAGUUAUCCUUUGGACUCUGUAAAGCUCUCUCUUUGAGUCAAUUAACCUCUUGAAGCUUAUCAUC